UACGAGUGGUGGCAAUGGCAGUGGGAAUGGAAAUGGAGGCGGCGGUGUCAAUAGCACCAUGGCGAGAGAGAAGGAGAAGGAGAAGGAGUUAGGGAGGGACUUGGUUUCUAAUGCUGGGCCAAGCGGGAGCGGGAGCGGGAGCCUUUCCUCGUAAGUGCGAAAAGGGGGAAAUUUCUAAGAUACAGACCAUAUGCGUGUGUACCAGUAUAUAUAUAGAGCUACGACGGCACAUACCCGGCGUUUAUGUUGCAUUGACGCACAUUUAUAUUUUUUUAAUCCCUGUUGACGGGUUCGUGUUUUUCAUAUUUCUUGUUUAUUUUCUCGUCGCUAGUCUUCAUCUGACCUGGCUUCUGCGUGUAUUUCUAUCCAGAGAUAUGUAUGUAUACUUACUUCCAUCUGCAGCUCUUCCUGCUUGCUUGCUAGUCUUCCGCCCCCAAUCUAAUCAUAAUCAUAACUAUCAUAUCAACAUGUAAAGAAAGCAAAGCAGCAAGGAAGCAGUCUUCACUCAGCAAAAGAGGAGCAGAGCAGAGAUAUUAGAUUAUAUAUAUGUUUAACUGAAUACCAACCAACAUUAAG
rnacentral:sRNA from 2 species